ensembl:ncRNA Y15E3A.14 ncRNA
UUGUCUCCAUUUCCUUUCACUGGACGAUCUCAUAAGGUUAUUUUCAAAGUGCACAUAAAAUGGGGAAAGAGGAGGAGGGAUUGGUGAGCGGGAGGGAGAAGCUGUGGGGGGGGGGGGGGGUAUAGGCGGAUGAUGAAGCAAAGGGUACGUGGAUGAAUAUGAGUCUUUUCUCUCUAUGAGCAGCACACACGAAUUCAAAUUUAAAGGUGAGAGGGUCGCUGC